UUGUGUAAAGUGAGGCGCACCUGUAUUCACAUAAAUUCUGUGGAGACACGUCGGAUGUGUGGCGCAUGCCAGUAAGAGCGGACUUGGAUCCACAAGACGAUUCUUGCCUCCUGGAGCUCUGGUUUCCACCUGUGCCUCUGAACUUCCCUGCAUGCUCUCCAGAGGCUCCUCUAUCCUCUCAAUGGUCUGGUCCACGGUGGGGCCUUCAGCUGCUCCCAGCUCUCCUUCAUGGAUCCUGCUGGGGGCCGAGCUCCCGUCUUCCAACCCUGAGUGAAGGGCGUGAUGGGAGCAUCCACAUCUGGAGGAUCCAGAACCCACAGGAGUGGAGGAAAUGCCAGUGUCGGAGCCCCCUUCCUGCCUCAGCAAUUUUGACAGAGUGUUUUACAGCAAACCUCAAGUAUGACAUUGCUCCCAUAGAUCAGCAUGCAACCUAAUAAGGACACCAUGCCAUAAUUACACCUCAGAAUUAACAGUCCCAGUGUCAUCCACCCCUGGGUCAGGAAGAUCCCCUCGAGAAGGAAAUGGCAACCCACUCCAGUAUUGUUGCUUGGAAAGUCCCAUGGACAGAGGAGCCUGGUGGGCCACAGUCCAUGAGGUCACAAAAGAGGCGGACACGACUGAGCAACUAGAGAACAACAACAGUGUCAUCCAGGAUCCAGUCCAUUUCGAAUUCUGAUGGUGCCAAUGUUUCUUAUGAUUGGCUUGCUUGAGUCAAGAUCCAGUUAGUUUUUGCUGCGUAACAAAGCGCCAUGACACGUAAUGGUUCCAAAUGAGCAUCGUUUGUGUGAGCGGGCGUAGCCAGCCGGGUUCAGGGAGACUGGUAGAGGGUGGCCCCCUCUGAUCUGGCCAUUCAUUUGCCAUCAGCCGGGGAAACAAGGAGGAUGCAGUAAGAAGGCAGGCGUCUGUGGGGUCACUUGUAGCUCCACCUGGUCACCUUUGUUACCCACUGGCUGGAGCAGAUGGCAUGAGCAGCCCUGCCUGCCUCUGAGGGGCACUGCCCAGCAGCAUGGGGACAUGGAGGAGAACCUCCACAGCAGUUCUGGCACCUGAGGUCCCAGCUGGAUUUGGUUGACUUUCCUCACGUAAAUGAUGUUUGUAUCCCACAUGCGAACAUUGUGGGUUUCCCUGGUGGCUCAGUGGUAAAGAAUCUGCCUACGGUGCAGGGGACCUGGGUUUGAUCCCUGGGGCAGGAAGAUCCCCGGAGAAGGAAAUGGCAACCUUCUCCAGUAUUCUUAGCUGGAAAAUCUCAUGGACAGAGGAGAGCCUCGUGGGCUACACAGUCCAUGAAUUCAAAGAGUCGGACACGACUGAGCCCCUAAACCACCACCACCACCACUAGGAACAUUCGCCCUGGAGGCUGCCGUAUGCCAGGCCCUGUGGAUUUGCUCCCACCCUAGGACCUGGGGAAGAGAGCAGGGGAAGUCAGGCUUUGGGCUUCGUUUCUCCAGAGAAACAGACUUAAACAGUAGAUAGGUAUGCUUGUGAGCCAGGCUCGUAAGAAGACAGGCUGUACGCAGACCAGUUUCUAAAUAACCGUACGAGGAACUUCCUAGAGGUCCAGCGGCCAAGAGUCUGAGUUCCCAAUGCAAGGAGCCCAAGUUCAAUCGCUGGUAGGGAACUAGAUCCUGCAACUCAGUCUCAUGCCACAACUAAAGAUCCUGCAGACUGUAGCUAAGACCCAGCACAGCCAAAUUGAAAGAAAGCCAUAGGUUCUGCUACUCCCUGAAGGGGCAGCGGAGGUUCUAAGAGGGCACAAGCCAGAGAUCUCAGAAUCAACCAUAUCUUUGACUUUCAGGUCAUGCUAAGCACAGAGUGGGUACUCUAAAGUUUUUAUUUAAUAGCAUUGAAUCAGCAAAAAGAAAAGACAGGCUUCCCUGGAGGUCCAGUGAUUAAGAGUCUGCCUUGAAAUGCAGGAGACAUGGGUUCAAUCCUUGGUCUGUGAAGAUCCCACAUGCCAUGAGCAGCUAAGCAUGCAUGCGUAGAGCCUGUGCUCCGUAACGAGAGGCCACUGCAACGAGAAGCCCAUAAACCACAACUAGAGAAAGCCCGAGUGUGGCAGUGAAGACCCAGCACAGCCGAAAUAAAUAAUUUCCUUAAUGGCAACCCACUCCAGUAUUCUUGCCUGGAAGAUCCCAUAGACGGGAGCUUGGCGGGCUACAGUCCAUAGGCUCGCAAAGAGUUGGACACCCCUGACGUGACUUAGCAUGCAGACGCGCACUGGGUCACAAGGGAAGUGUGGGCCCUUGUCUUGCUCAUCUUGGGCUGCAAGGCUGCAAGUUCUGUAGCCUACAUGGCUUAAACAACAGAAGUGUCUCACACCUGGAGACGGGAGUCCUGGCCGAAGAUGCUGGCAGGUGUCCUUCAUCCUGAGGCCUCGCAGCCGCUGAGCUGUGUGCUCACGGGACUGUUCGUGCAAGGAGAACGGUGAUCCUGUCAGAUCAGGACCAUGCUGAUGACCUCUCUCGACUGCCCCACCUCUGAAUAUCAUCACACGGAGGGGUAAACGGGCUACAAGACGGGAGUCUGGGGAGACAUGCUGUAACAGACUUCUCCAGAAGGCUCUGCCUAGUUUUGCUUAGCUACAGGAGUAUGCGUCUCAGUGUGUUGUUGUUGUUCAGCUGCUAAGUUGUGUCCGAUUCUUGGCAACCCCAUGGAUUGCAGCAUGCCAGGCUUCCCUGUCCUUUGCCAUGUCCCAGAGUUUGCUCAAAUUCAUGUCCAUUGAGUCAGUGAUGUCAUCCAACAUCUCAUCCUCUACCGCCCCUUCUCCUCUUGCCCUCUAUCUUUUCCAGUGAGUCAGCUCUUUGCAUAUCAGGUGGCAAAAAUGUUGGAGCUUCACCUUCAGCUCAGCUUCAGGAGGAAGCACCUCAAUGGUGUCAUCUCCAGGCUCGUUGGCAUUGAAGCCCCCUCCAGCGUCGGGAUCCAUGUGGCAGGACCAGAAAGGAAGAAGCGCUAACCUUAGGGCGAAGGAAAGUGGAUCAGGACCUUUUCAAGGUUUCCCCUGUAUGUUUGAUGCCUUUCCUUGACUCCUUCUGCAGAUGGAGAAGAGAAUACAGUGAGGCAGAUGUAGUUUCUCAGGAUUGGAGUGGACUCAUCAGUGAGCCAUGACCAUCUAGGACUCUAGUCUGGGGCGUUUGUACAACUUGCUUCCCACACACAGAAACCUUCAGUGUUAGGCACCCUUGUCAGCGUGAUGCCUCAGGAGGGAUAUUUGACAUCUGUCUGAGGGGAGGACCCCAGUGGUGAGAGUUUCAGUGCCCAUGAGGAUUGAGCACCUAUAUUCUAACAACAACAAACAACAUUCUAAUCAGGAAAGACUGACAUGUGGAAGAGACUGGAUUAACUUAGACCCAUGCAGAGAGGUAGAAGCGAGGCUGAUUUCCAUCCUUACAAAAAAUUUCCUCACACUUCCCGUUAUUUCAAAUAAAAGUGGUAGUGAUUUCCCCGUCCCUGGAAGCAUCCAACAACUUCCUAUGGGUAUUGUAGAGGAGCGCAACACAAGGUCUGCCCCUGGCAGGAUGGCAUGUAGACUAGGUGUUUUUCAAGGAUCUCUGCCCAUGGGGU
ensembl:lncRNA